rnacentral:rRNA from 1 species
AUGAGAGUAGGCGGGGUGCAGGGUAGGGACCAACUGCGGCGCAUGGGAGCAAGUGGGGUUCUGGGUAGGUACGCGCGGCGGCGCAUGGGAGGAGCGGGAGGGGUUGAAGUCCAAACCCACCUCGCCCUGAAGGAAGGGGCCAGCCUUGCGCCGGAAGGAGGCGGGGGCGACGGCGUGCUAGGAGGAGGUGGGGGCAGCGGCCUUGCACCGGAAGAAGGCGACGGCGUGCUAGGAGGAGGUGGGGGCGGCGGCCUUGCACCGGAAGAAGGCGGGGCGGCGGCGCGUCGGGAGGUGGCGGGGCCGGCGGUGCGCCCGCUCGCCCGAAAGGAGGAGGGCCCCGGGGGCGCGUCGGAGCAGGGUGGGCGGCGGCCGGAGGUGGUUGGCGGAUUGGGGGAGGUCGCAGGGGUAGGAUGGCGACGGGAGGGACGGAGAUAA